rnacentral:tRNA from 1 species
UAAACAAAACCUAAUUUAUAGGAUUACAGUGAUAGUGUAAUUAAGUGAAUGUAAAAUCACUUGUUUAA